rnacentral:rRNA from 1 species
UACGCAGGGGGCAAGCGUUGUCCGGAUUUAUUGGGCGUAAAGAGCGUGUAGGCGGUUUGGUAGGUCCGUUGUGAAAACUCGAGGCUCAACCUCGAGACGCCGAUGGAAACCAUCAGACUAGAGUCCGGAAGAGGAGAGUGGAAUUCCUGGUGUAGCGGUGAAAUGCGCAGAUAUCAGGAAGAACACCCGUGGCUAAGGCGGCUCUCUAGUACGGUACUGACGCUGAGACGCGAAAGCGUGGGGAGCGAACAGG